rnacentral:rRNA from 1 species
AUUGAACGCUGGCGGCAUGCCUUACACAUGCAAGUCGAACGGUAACAGGUCUUCGGCUGCUGACGAGUGGCGAACGGGUGAGUAAUACAUCGGAACGUGCCUAGUAGUGGGGGAUAACUACUCGAAAGAGUGGCUAAUACCGCAUGAGAUCUACGGAUGAAAGCAGGGGAUCGCAAGACCUUGUGCUACUAGAGCGGCCGAUGGCAGAUUAGGUAGUUGGCGGGAUAAAAGCUUACCAAGCCGACGAUCUGUAGCUGGUCUGAGAGGACGAUCAGCCACACUAGGACUGAGACACGGCGCAGACUCCGACGGGAGGCAGCAGUGGGUACACGUGGACACGGGGCGCAAGCCUGGCGCAGCCCUGCCGCGUGCAGACUGAUGGUCUUCGGGUUGUCAACGGCUUAUGUACGGAACGAAAAGCCCCGGGUUCAUACCCUGGGGUCAUGACGGGACCGUAAGAAGAAGCACCGGCUAACUACGUGCCAGCCGCCGCCGUAA